CACUUCUAAGGAAGGCAGCAGGCGCGCAAAUUACCCAAUCCUGACUCAGGGAGGUAGUGACAAGAAAUAACAAUAAACCGGCUUAUGCCGGUUUAAUUGGAAUGAGUACAAUUUAAACAUCUUAACGAGGAACAAUUGGAGGGCAAGUCUGGUGCCAGCAGCCGCGGUAAUUCCAGCUCCAAUAGCGUAUACUAAAGUUGUUGCAGUUAAAAAGCUCGUAGUUGGAUUUCUGUGGGGACGGAGCGGCCGGCCGCACAUCGCGGUUCGAGCUAGCGCUUUCCCUACAUCCUGCCGCGAACCGUGCUACCAUUAGUUUGGUGGCGCUGGGGAUCGGCUCGAUUACUUUGAGAAAAAUAGAGUGUUCAAAGCAGGCCACAUGCCUUGAAUAAGUUAGCAUGGAAUAAUAACUAAGGACUUCGGUUCUAUUUUGUUGGUGUUCGGGACUGAAGUAAUGAUUGAUAGGGACAGUUGGGGCGGUCUGUAUUCCAAAGCGAGAGGUGAAAUUCUUAGACCUUCGGAAGACAAACAGCUGCGAAAGCGUUCCGCAAGGAUGUUCCCUUUGAUCAAGAACGAAAGUUGGGGGAUCGAAGACGAUCAGAUACCGUCGUAGUCUCAACUAUAAACUAUACCAGCUAGGGAUCGGCCAACGUUAUUUCAUACCGACUUGGUCGGCACCUUAUGAGAAAUCAAAGCAUCUGGGUUCCGGGGGGAGUAUGGUCGCAAGGCUGAAACUUAAAGGAAUUGACGGAAGGGCACCACCAGCCGUGGAGCCUGUGGCUUAAUUUGACUCAACACGGGAAAACUUACCAGGUCCAGACAUAGUAAGGAUUGACAGAUUGAUAGCUCUUUCUUGAUUCUGUGGGUGGUGGUGCAUGGCCGUUCUUAGUUGGUGGAGUGAUUUGUCUGGUUAAUUCCGUUAACGAACGAGACCCCAGCCUGCUAAAUAGCGCGCGUGAGCUUUGCUCGCGGCGAGCUUCUUAGAGGGACUCUGAUGCGCGAUAGCACAUGGAAGUUUGGGGCAAUAACAGGUCUGUGAUGCCCUUAGAUGUUCUGGGCCGCACACGGGCUACACUGGCGCCUGCAACGAGCAUAUCAGCUGGCCCGAGAGGGUCUUGGCUAAUCUUUUGAACCGGCGCCGUGCUUGGGAUUGACCUUUGCAAUUGUUGGUCAUGCAACGAGGAAUGCCUUGUAAACGCGAGUCAUCAACUCGCAUUGAAUACGUCCCUGCCCUUUGUACACACCGCCCGUCGCUCCUACCGAUGAAUGUUCCGAUGAAAUUUUCGGAGAGCACCUGUGAACUUGGCUCUGCCUUGCGAACGGGAGGCUCAAAGUCACUUAAAUCUGAACAUUUC
rnacentral:rRNA from 1 species